GGGUGAUGCUAUCCCACUGAGAAUGUGUGGCUCCCCUACCUGAGGUUUCCUGUGCAGGCAUCUUCACACUUUCCAGACCUAUCAAGGCAGACACCAGACUCCCAGGAGAGGGAAGAUGAUGUGUUUGGAAAGGAGCUGCUGCUACUGAGGGCUCCCAGAUAAAGUGGCCACCAAGCUCCGAGAAAGUGAAAUGGUGAGCCAUGCCACGCGUGUGCCUGUGUCUGCCGACCUGUUCUCGCCCCUGGGGUUGGCUGCCUUUCCUCCAGUGUGUUAUUGCCCUUCUCCUUGGCACUCACGGGGACUUGUGGGUAUCAUCAAACCUAUCAGUGGGUUCUCCAGGGGACCCAGGGAACCCAGACUGAGGACCAAAAGACCAAACAAAGAUGCAGAAAUAGCUUUUCCAUCAGUCCUGGGGAUCUUUGAUAAGAAGUAAAAGAAUAGAGCCUACCUUGAAGUCAUGUUUUGCCCAACAUUUUUGGCUCUGUCCUAAAUGUUUAUUUUCGGAAGGGGCUAGGGUUAGGAAAUACACAAGACAUGAAAAGAACUCUUCUGCUUAGUGUUUUCUCACUCUUUCUUUGAGUUAAAGAGUACAGAUAUGUCCAGCUGCUUGAGAAGGGGAGAAGAAAGAUAAAGAGGGGAGAAAGAAAUAUCAGAGAAAAAAAUUAGAUCCUAUUUUUAAAAUAAUAUCUAAAAUUUGUAUCCUUUAAAAUAAUGGAUGUAACAAUUUGAUUUUAUUAAAAAUAAUAAAAUUGCAUGAAACCUAUACUCUCUUACAUAGGCAAAUCUCUUACACAGGGCCAUUGUUUUUUAUCACACUCAUUAUUUCUAUAUUAUGGGAUAAUACUCUAUUAUUUGUGUGUUUUAUAUUUCCUGUAGGAAGGCGAUGGUCUAGAAUUCCAUAGACCAGCUGGGUAUAUGUCCAAGCAGGGAUAUGACAAGAGGAAAUCCAAGAAACAUUUAGAAGGGGAGGAAUUUGAAUGAAGUGGAAAACAGAGAGGAAAAGCUCAGGAGUAGUUAAGCCAGAGAACAAGAAGAAUGUUUAUUCUUUUGAUAAGCAGUGGGAGAGAACUGUGGCUUGGGAUGACAGGUGGAAGAUGAUGAAUUUGAAUUUGGAAAUACAGUAUAUACUUAUUCACAAGAGACAUUCAUGCUGAGAGAUUUUCUUUUUCUCUAAAACUAAAGCCAAGAUGGACCAACGCUUUUGUCGUGUUUCUGUGUAUUCUACAGAGACACUACGCUACGUGGUAUAUUUCUCUUACCUACUUCAAGUGGCAGCUACCCUCCUUCAGCCUUCAGCUUUCUGCUGGUACUGUGCUUUCCAUUCGCAUCUCAGGUCCUAAACAUCUGAUCUUAGCAUACGAAGAUGCGUGCACACACAUCCCCCG
rnacentral:lncRNA from 1 species